rnacentral:rRNA from 1 species
GUGGGGAAUCUUGGACAAUGGGGGAAACCCUGAUCUAGCCAUGCCGCGUGAGCGAUGAAGGCCUUAGGGUUGUAAAGCUCUUUCAGAUGGGAAGAUAAUGACGGUACCAUCAGAAGAAGCCCCGGCUAACUCCGUGCCAGCAGCCGCGGUAAUACGGAGGGGGCUAGCGUUGUUCGGAAUUACUGGGCGUAAAGCGCACGUAGGCGGACCAGAAAGUCAGAGGUGAAAUCCCAGGGCUCAACCUUGGAACUGCCUUUGAAACUCCUGGUCUUGAGGUCGAGAGAGGUGAGUGGAAUUCCGAGUGUAGAGGUGAAAUUCGUAGAUAUUCGGAGGAACACCAGUGGCGAAGGCGGCUCACUGGUCCGGUACUGACGCUGAGGUGCGAAAGCGUGGGGAGCAAACAGGAUUAGAAACCCCUGGUCC